rnacentral:misc_RNA from 1 species
CUUAUUUGUAUAUUUGAGAGAGCUGCAAAGCACAAAACUUUGAGCUCAACUGAAGCUGUACAAGAGAAGAAGAAGAAGAAAGGCAAAUAUGAGUAGCAUAGGAACCGGAUAUGAUCUAUCGGUGACGACAUUCUCGCCGGACGGCAGAGUAUUUCAGAUCGAAUACGCCGGAAAAGCAGUCGAUAACAGUGGUACUGUUGUUGGAAUCAAAUGCAAGGAUGGAAUCGUCUUGGGAGUGGAGAAGCUAAUAGCCUCCAAAAUGAUGUUGCCGGGAUCAAAUCGUCGAAUUCAUUCUGUUCAUCGUCAUUCCGGCAUGGCUGUUGCAGGUUUGGCUGCAGAUGGGAGGCAGAUUGUUGCCCGAGCCAAGUCUGAAGCAACCAGCUUUGAAAGUGUAUAUGGUGAACCGAUUCCAGUGAAAGAACUUGCAGAACGUGUUGCUAGUUAUGUACAUUUAUGCACACUUUACUGGUGGCUCAGGCCUUUCGGAUCUGGGGUAAUCCUUGGAGGCUAUGAUAGAGAUGGACCUCAACUCUAUAUGGUUGAGCCAUCUGGUGUCUCCCAUAGGUACUUCGGUGCUGCUAUUGGGAAGGGCAGACAGGCUGCUAAAACUGAAAUUGAGAAGUUGAAGCUCUCUGAAAUGACGUGCCG